CAGGAGACCGGCCCUCGAGGACCAGGAAUGCUCAUCCCUGACUAGCUGGUCUUAAAGAAAUUCUGACAAACAGUCAGACGCUUAGAAUUUUGGGAACAUCAAAGCCUUUUGUUUCACUGUUGUCCUGAAGCUACAGAAAUUUCUGAUAGAUGGACAACAGUUGGCUCACCAUCAAAUGCUGUGUUCCAACACAGUGUAAACAUCCCACACCGUUAUUAUGCUGUUGCAUUGAACUGUCAGAACCCACCCGAAGAAGAGGAGCCCUCAUGGGGAUUCAUUUACUUCAUUCCCUCUCUGGCCAUGUGUGCACAGUAAAAUGGAUGGAAUCAGUGGCAUGCAUCUCAAACCCAAAAGCCUGACGUCUGCAGAGCAGAGUUUAGCGUAACAUACCAGAAAAAAUUCCUCCAUAAUCAAAGAGCUUGUUGGGUGUAUAACUGCUGAAACACAUGCAAGACAUAACACAAGAUAAAUUCUUCAGGGAUUUUUCAGGGAACAUAACAUUAAAACAAAUUUAUGUGCAGAGAGCAGCAAUUCAGUUUAUAACAGACUUGAUGUGUGUCUGCUCCAUCCUCAGCCUCCCACUCAAAGUAAUGAGCUGCAUAACAGCUUGUUGUGCAUUACAGAUGACUUUGCUGUGCAGCCAACCUCCAACUUAUCCUCAGACCGUCGUGAUCAGAGAAGACUGACCAAGCAAUUAAACCCCCAACUGAGUCAUCUGAUUAGUAUCUCAUUGUUAGUUUGCUCAAUAAGGCUAUUUGGAUGUCGAGGCUUUUAGAGUUUCAUCACAGUUUAAUUAAAAAAGGACUUCUCAAUUAGUUAUAUUGGUAGUUUGAUGUGUCUUUCUCAGCAGAGUAGCCUUAUGAUCUACUUUAAUUCAUCCGAGAUUGUUAGUACUCCACUGUUCAACAGAAUAUUAGCUGAUCAAGUAAUUAAUUCAUCUUUGUCUUUAUUAUGGAACAGCCCUUGCAUCUUGAAUGACAACUCUUCUUAUGUUAACCCUAACUCUCCUCUAACCCUAACCCUAAUGGAUUUAACAGAAACAGUAGCUCAUGGCGUCAAGGUUUUAAGUCCCUUGUUUUUUAAAUUUUUAACUAAAAAUAUGUUUUUCAGAAAAAUACAUAAACCCCAACCCAGGUGAGGUGUUUUGAUUUCAGAGAAAAACAAUCACAUCAUUUGAAUUACAGGAAUAUUAACGGAAACAAUGAUAUUAUCUAUGCUUUGGGUUUUAUUUGUGUUUCUGUUUUUGAUCAUUUCUGUUUUGUUUUACUUUCUUACAUCUUGGUAUGUUGGUACAUUUUUCAGUACAUCACAUUGUGUUAGUUUCUUAUUAGUUAGUUCUGAGCGCUUCUUGGAUUUUGUUAACCUUGAUUAAUGUUUAUUUCUUUGAGUCCCAGUUCAGCUGUUUAUCAUUCACCUUCCCUCAGCCUGUUCCCCUUCAUAGCUGUAAUCUAUAACCUGAUUCUCUUCUGUUUGCACUCGUCCUCAGCUGAUGAUGAUAGUGAUGUCAUUGCGUAGAUUUGCAGACAUUUUCAGCAAUUGUUUAAACGAAAUACGUCACUUUCAUUCCAAACUACAGUCUGGUUUAUGUCCGACCUCAAAACAAGAAUACAUAGCACAUACCUCCUCUCUCAUUUGUAGUAUAAUUCAAAGAAUGCAUAGAAUUUCUGGGAAUUGAAACAUUUUGAAUCAGUUUAUUUGUGAGGAUAUUUGUACAAAUUAUUUUGUGUCUCUAAGUGCCUCUCAAGAAAAGGGAGAAUAAAAGUGUCUUUCUCAAAAUUCUCUGUCCUGACAAAGAAUAGGUUAGCAGGUGACCUUAAGCUGAGUUCAAUCUUGGAUAAAACAUUUGUUAUGGCAGAUAAAAAAAUUCUAUUAAGAAACAUUAGUGGAGAACUCUCUGUUUGCGACAGACUUGAUGACCAACCAUUUAGUUUCCCCUUCUACCAAAUAUGAUCUACAACUGAUAACCAUUUUUUUUAUGUUUUCUGGCAAAGUCGUAAAGUGUGAAUUCUAGUGCCAAUACUUCCCUCUGCUCCUAAUCAUUCACUUCUUUUUACUUAUUCAGACUCUAAAUUAAAAUGUUGACAUAAGUAAAUUGCUGUCCAGUCAUUGUUGGACUGCAAUCUCUA